rnacentral:rRNA from 1 species
UACGUAGGGACCGAGCGUUGUCCGGAAUCAUUGGGCGUAAAGAGCGUGUAGGCGGCCACUUAAGUCCUGCGUGAAAUCCUGCGGCUCAACCGCAGGCGGUCGUGGGAAACUGGGUGGCUAGAGUGCGGGAGAGGAGAGUGGAAUUCCUGGUGUAGCGGUGAAAUGCGUAGAUAUCAGGAGAAACACCUGUGGCGAAAGCGGCUCACUGGACCACAACUGACGCUGAGGCGCGAAAGCUAGGGGAGCAAACAGG